rnacentral:rRNA from 1 species
UUUAUAUGAGAGUUUGAUCCUGGCUCAGGAUGAACGCCGGCGGUGUGCCUAAUACAUGCAAGUCGUACGCACUGGCCCAACUGAUUGAUGGUGCUUGCACCUGAUUGACGAUGGAUCACCAGUGAGUGGCGGACGGGUGAGUAACACGUAGGUAACCUGCCCCGGAGCGGGGGAUAACAUUUGGAAACAGAUGCUAAUACCGCAUAACAACAAAAGCCACAUGGCUU